rnacentral:rRNA from 1 species
UGCGGCACAUUAGCUAGUAGGUGAGGUAAGAGCUCACCUAGGCGACGAUGUGUAGCCGGUCUGAGAGGAUGAACGGCCACAAUGGAACUGAGACACGGUCCAUACUCCUACGGGAGGCAGCAGUGGGGAAUAUUGCACAAUGGGGGAAACCCUGAUGCAGCAACGCCGCGUGAGUGAAGAAGGUUUUCGGAUUGUAAAGCUCUGUUAGCAGGGAAGAGGAAGGACGGUACCUGCAGAGGAAGCCACGGCUAACUACGUGCCAGCAGCCGCGGUAAUACGUAGGUGGCAAGCGUUGUUCGGAAUAACUGGGCGUAAAGGAUGCGUAGGCGGUUGAGUAAGUUAUGUGUUAAAUAUAUAGGCUUAACCUGUAGAAAGCACAUAAAGCUGUUUAACUAGAGUGCAGGAGAGGUAAGUGGAAUUCCUAGUGUAGCGGUGAAAUGCGUAGAGAUUAGGAAGAACACCAGUGGCGAAGGCGACUUACUGGACUGUAACUGACGCUGAGGCAUGAGAGCAUGGGGAGCAAACAGGAUUAGAUACCCUGGUAGUCCAUGCUGUAAACGAUGGGUACUAGGUGU